GGACACAACCUAACGGUCCUGUGCCGGUCACCAGAAUUCGCCGGGCACCCAAUUCAUGCAACGACUGGUUGGUUUAAUAAAUUCGAAGCGAGAACAACGGUGAGUCCAUAUUAUACAAUUUUAAAAUUAAAAUUAAAAUUAAAAUAAAAAAAGAUUGAUUCGUACCACGAGGAUUUUCUCGUACUCUGAAAUGAGGUAGGUGACGUAAUCAGGUAACGAGAAUUGGCGCGAUCUGGCAGAGAAUGGCAAGAGAUAGUAGUUGUUCACAAAGUCAUUUCCACCCAGAGUGAUUAAAACCAACGCAUUUUUCAC
rnacentral:lncRNA from 1 species